rnacentral:lncRNA from 10 species
AGGGGCCCCAGUUGUAUUUCUCUGCGACUCUCUUGUGGAUUUUCCAUGAUCCAUUAUGUGCACAUUAUCCAGAUGGCCUGAAGAAUGCUGUCCAUGCAUGGGUUUAGUCCUGGUUCCUGAGACCCUGUCUGAAAAAGGGGGAUGAAAAUUACCAGGGUCAUCUCUCACCAAAUAUGGCUCUACGCCGGAGCUGGACUCAUUCUUCACAAUACAUGGCUGCAACAUGUCAGUGCCCUCCAUGCUCCAGCUCCUGGGUAGGAGCAUUGCCACAGACAGGAGGGCUAUGGACAAGUUCUCCUCUUUCUUCUCUUCAAUACCUGCUUCAAAUAUGGCAGAGGUUCUGUUAUGAGCCAUGGCAGAUUCAAGACUGUCUGUCUUCUCCAAAAUAUUAUCUUCUUUCCAGCGACAGUAUUCAUCCAAUUUAAAUUUAUUUUAUUCUGUGAUCCUUUGAUAUACAUAUUAUAUUUAAUGAAUGUAGUGGAUUGAUUUCAAAAGCAGCCACAAUUUUUGAAUCCUCUGAGGGUAUCCAUGCCCGCUGCAAUGUGACUUUGCAGGUCUUGCCAUCAAGAAGUUGCUUCUCCUUCUCAUAUUUCCAAUCUGGGCUGGCCUCGUGGCUAGUUUUGACCAAGACAAUGCAGCUGAGGGGACACUGUGUUGCUCCUGCACCUGGCCUCAAGACACCUUUCACGGUUCUGCUUACAGUGUUGAUAAAUCACCGUCAGCAUGAAACCAAGCCUGGGACAUCCUGUUGGUGGAUGACACACACCAUGGGGGAGACUGGUUCCUCCAGCUGAGACCAGGGGGCACUGCCCAGCAAGCCCACCUUCCAUGUGUUGAGCUGCCUGGAUCACAUUGGUAGCUGCAGAUUCAUGAGUGAGCCCAGCUGAGAGCAGAAAAAUGGCUCGGCCUCCCUCAGACCUAUGUUUGGAUUAAGUAAAUGCUUGUUUUCUUAAGUCAGUAAGGAGUUUGUGAUUGCAUUCUGUCCCAGAUGACUGUGGCAAUGGAUAACAAACACAAUGGUGGUCACAAUUAAAAAUCCCUGUUUGUCUGAAGGAAUUUCCCAUUUAGACAACCUUUACCUAUGUGAUUUAUUUAAUUUUUGCAAUACUUUUAUUGAGUAUAUAUUUAUUCAACCUUUUUUCCUAAAUAAAUUGUUUCAGAGAAGUCACACAUUAGUAAAUUCUCAAACCUAACAUCCGGAUUCUGGGAGGACAGAUGCUUUCCUGCAAGGGUGGUCUUCACUAGAAGAGUAUCAGCUCCUAGAUGGGCUGUCUGGUUCCUCUCCUAAGUUUUCCACCAUAAAAAUCCCACAGAAUUUAAGCUUCAAGAAGAAUCACUCAGGAAUUUCCCCUGCAUAGAUAAGAAAACAAAGCCUUUACUUUCAGCAUUCAUUGGCCACUUU